AACGUAGGGGACAAGCGUUAUCCGGAUUUACUGGGCGUAAGGCGCCCGUAGGCGGCCUGACAAGUUGGACGUGAAAGCUCCUGGCUUAACUGGGAGAGGCCGUUCAAAACUGUCAAGCUAGAGUCUGGAAGAGGAGAGCGGAAUUCCCGGUGUAGUGGUGGAAUGCGUAGAGAUCGGGAGGAACACCAGUGGCGAAAGCGGCUCUCUGGUCCAAAACUGACGCUGAGGGGCGAAAGCGUGGGGAGCGAACGGG
rnacentral:rRNA from 1 species